ACGGGAGACACACGGCGGGUGCUAACGUCCGUCGUGAAGAGGGAAACAACCCAGACCGCCAGCUAAGGUCCCAAAGUCAUGGUUAAGUGGGAAACGAUGUGGGAAGGCCCAGACAGCCAGGAUGUUGGCUUAGAAGCAGCCAUCAUUUAAAGAAAGCGUAAUAGCUCACUGGUCGAGUCGGCCUGCGCGGAAGAUGUAACGGGGCUAAACCAUGCACCGAAGCUGCGGCAGCGACGCUGAUGCGUUGUUGGGUAGGGGAGCGUUCUGUAAGCCUGCGAAGGUGUGCUGUGAGGCAUGCUGGAGGUAUCAGAAGUGCGAAUGCUGACAUAAGUAACGAUAAAGCGGGUGAAAAGCCCGCUCGCCGGAAGACCAAGGGUUCCUGUCCAACGUUAAUCGGGGCAGGGUGAGUCGACCCCUAAGGCGAGGCCGAAAGGCGUAGUCGAUGGGAAACAGGUUAAUAUUCCUGUACUUGGUGUUACUGCGAAGGGGGGACGGAGAAGGCUAUGUUGGCCGGGCGACGGUUGUCCCGGUUUAAGCGUGUAGGCUGGUUUUCCAGGCAAAUCCGGAAAAUCAAGGCUGAGGCGUGAUGACGAGGCACUACGGUGCUGAAGCAACAAAUGCCCUGCUUCCAGGAAAAGCCUCUAAGCAUCAGGUAACAUCAAAUCGUACCCCAAACCGACACAGGUGGUCAGGUAGAGAAUACCAAGGCGCUUGAGAGAACUCGGGUGAAGGAACUAGGCAAAAUGGUGCCGUAACUUCGGGAGAAGGCACGCUGAUAUGUAGGUGAAGUCCCUCGCGGAUGGAGCUGAAAUCAGUCGAAGAUACCAGCUGGCUGCAACUGUUUAUUAAAAACACAGCACUGUGCAAACACGAAAGUGGACGUAUACGGUGUGACGCCUG
rnacentral:rRNA from 1 species